rnacentral:piRNA from 1 species
UAGACUCUACUGGCUUCUAAACCAUGCUGUC